AGAGUUUGAUCCUGGCUCAGAACGAACGCUGGCGGCGUGGUUUAGGCAUGCAAGUCGAGCGAGAAAGUCACCUUCGGGAGGCGAGUAAAGCGGCGCAAGGGUGAGUAAUAUAUAGGUAACCUACCUCUAAGAUCGGGAUAAUUCCUGGAAACGGGUUGUAAUACUGGAUGGUCUUUUCGGGUCGCAUGGCCCGGAUUAGUAAAUGGUAGCUAUGCUUCUGCUUAGAGAGGGGCCUAUAUCCUAUUAGCUUGUUGGUGCGGUAAUGGCGCACCAAGGCAAUGAUGGGUAGCCGGACUGAGAGGUUGGCCGGUCACACUGGGACUGAGACACUGCCCAGACUCCUACGGGAGGCUGCAGUCGAGAAUCUUCCGCAAUGGGCGAAAGCCUGACGGGGCGACGCCGCGUGAACGAAGAAGGCCUUCGGGUUGUAAAGUUCUGUCAGUAGAGAAGAACGAGUAUCGGUUAAUAGUCGGUGCUUUGACGUUAUCUUCAGAGGAAGCCCUGGCUAACUCCGUGCCAGCAGCCGCGGUAAUACGGAGAGGGCAAGCGUUAUUCGGAAUCACUGGGCAUAAAGGGCACGUAGGCGGAUCAGAAAGUCGGUUGUGAAAGCCCGGGGCUCAACCCCGGAACUGCUUCCGAAACUUCUGGUCUAGAGGGUGAGAGGGGAGAGUGGAACUUCUGGUGGAGCGGUGAAAUGCGUAGAGAUCAGAAGGAACACCGGUGGCGAAAGCGACUCUCUGGCUCAUUUCUGACGCUGAGGUGCGAAAGCUUGGGUAGCGAACGGGAUUAGAUACCCCGGUAGUCCAAGCCGUAAACGAUGAGCACUAGGUAGGGGGAACUCUGACGUUCUCCCUGCUGUAGCUAAUGUGUUAAGUGCUCCGCCUGGGGAGUAUGGUCGCAAGGCUAAAACUCAAAGGAAUUGACGGGGGCUCACACAAGCGGUGGAGCAUGUGGUUUAAUUCGAAGCAACGCGCAGAACCUUACCCAGGUUUGACAUGCAGUUGUAGGCUCCUGAAAAGGAGCCGAACUGCGUAAGCAGAAGGCUAGUACAGGUGCUGCAUGGCUGUCGUCAGCUCGUGUCGUGAGAUGUCGGGUUAAGUCCCUUAACGAGCGAAACCCCUACUGUCUAUUUGCCAGCGGGUUAUGCCGGGCACCCUAGCGGGACUGCCGUGGUUAACACGGAGGAAGGCGGGGAUGACGUCAAGUCCUCAUGGCCCUUACGCCCAGGGCUACACACGUGCUACAAUGGCCGGUACAAAGGGCUGCGAAGGGGUAACCUGGAGCCAAUCCCACAAAGCCGGUCUCAGUACGGAUUGGGGGCUGAAAUUUGCCCCCAUGAAGUUGGAAUCGCUAGUAAUCGCGGAUCAGCAAUGCCGCGGUGAAUAUGUUCCUGAGCCUUGUACACACCGCCCGUCAAGCCACGGGAGCUGGUAGUGCCCGAAGUCGCUGACCCAACCCCUCGGGGAGGGAGGCGCCGACGGUAAGACCGGUGACUGGGACUAAGUCGUAACAAGGUAACC
rnacentral:rRNA from 1 species